GAUGAACGCUGACAGAAUGCUUAACACAUGCAAGUCGAUGGGGAAGUGGUGCUUGCACCAUGGCAACCAUGGCGGACGGGUGAGUAACGCGUAAGGGACUUACCUGCAGGACUGGGAUAACGGGGGGAAACUCCCGACAAGACCGGAUAAUGUCAUGGAGCUGCAUGGCUUUAUGAUGAAAGGAGACGCCUGCGGAGAGCCUUGCGUCCUAUUAGCUAGUUGGUGAGGUAAUGGCUCACCAAGGCGAAGAUAGGUAGCCGGCCUGAGAGGGUGGACGGCCACAAGGGGACUGAGAUACGGCCCUUACUCCUACGGGAGGCAGCAGUGGGGAAUAUUGGACAAUGGGGGCAACCCUGAUCCAGCAAUUCUGUGUGCACGAAGAAGGUUUUCGGAUUGUAAAGUGCUUUCAGCAGGGAAGAAGUAAGUGACGGUACCUGCAGAAGAAGCGACGGCUAAAUACGUG
rnacentral:rRNA from 1 species